rnacentral:rRNA from 1 species
CCUACGGGAGGCAGCAGUGAGGAAUAUUGGUCAAUGGACGAGAGUCUGAACCAGCCAAGUAGCGUGAAGGAUGACUGCCCUAUGGGUUGUAAACUUCUUUUAUAAAGGAAUAAAACGAGGCACGUGUGCCUUUUUGCAUGUACUUUAUGAAUAAGGAUCGGCUAACUCCGUGCCAGCAGCCGCGGUAAUACGGAGGAUCCGAGCGUUAUCCGGAUUUAUUGGGUUUAAAGGGAGCGUAGAUGGGUUGUUAAGUCAGUUGUGAAAGUUUGCGGAUCAACCGUAAAAUUGCAAUUGAUACUGGCAGUCGUGAGUACAGUUGAGGUAGGCGGAAUGCGUGGUGUAGCGGUGAAAUGCUUAGAUAUCACGAAGAACCCCGAUUGCGAAGGCAGCUUACUAAACUGUGACUGACAUUGAUGCUCGAAAGUGUGGGUAUCAAACAGGAUUAGAUACCCCGGUAGUC